rnacentral:rRNA from 1 species
GACGAACGCUGGCGGCGUGCUUAACACAUGCAAGUCGAACGGAAAGGCCCUGCUUUUGUGGGGUGCUCGAGUGGCGAACGGGUGAGUAACACGUGAGUAACCUGCCCUUGACUUUGGGAUAACUUCAGGAAACUGGGGCUACUACCGGAUAGGAGCUCCUGCUGCAUGGUGGGGGUUGGAACGUUUCGGCGGUUGGGGAUGGACUCGCGGCUUAUCAGCUUGUUGGUGGGGUAGUGGCUUACCAAGGCUUUGACGGGUAGCCGGCCUGAGAGGGUGACCGGCCACAUGGGGACUGAGAGACGGCCCAGACUCCUACGGGAGGCAGCAGUGGGGAAUAUUGCACAAUGGGCGGAAGCCUGAUGCAGCAACGCCGCGUGCGGGAUGACGGCCUUCGGGUUGUAAACCGCUUUCGCCUGUGACGAAGCGUGAGUGACGGUAAUGGGUAAAGAAGCACCGGCUAACUACGUG